GUGGGGAAUCUUAGACAAUGGGCGCAAGCCUGAUCUAGCCAUGCCGCGUGAUCGAUGAAGGCCUUAGGGUUGUAAAGAUCUUUCGCUGGGGAAGAUAAUGACUGUACCCAGUAAAGAAGCCCCGGCUAACUCCGUGCCAGCAGCCGCGGUAAUACGGAGGGGGCUAGCGUUAUUCGGAAUUACUGGGCGUAAAGCGCACGUAGGCGGACUGGAAAGUUGGGGGUGAAAUCCCGGGGCUCAACCUCGGAACUGCCUUCAAAACUCCCAGUCUUGAGUUCGAGAGAGGUGAGUGGAAUUCCGAGUGUAGAGGUGAAAUUCGUAGAUAUCCGGAGGAACACCAGUGGCGAAGGCGGCUCACUGGCUCGAUACUGACGCUGAGGUGCGAAAGCGUGGGGAGCAAACAGGAUUAGAUACCCGUGUAGUCC
rnacentral:rRNA from 1 species